AACCAUAGAAACCUGCGGAGUACCUGCGGAGGGAUCAUUACAGAGUUGCAAAACUCCCACAAACCAUCGCGAAUCUUACCCGUACGGUUGCCUCGGCGCUGGCGGUCCGGAAGGCCCUCGGGCCCCCGGACCCUCGGGUCCCCCGCUCGCGGGGGGCUGCCCGCCGGAGUGCCGAAACCAAACCCUUGAUAUUUUAUGUCUCUCUGAGUAAACUUUUAAAUAAGUCAAAACUUUUAACAA
rnacentral:misc_RNA from 1 species